AUUGAACGCUGGCGGCAUGCCUAACACAUGCAAGUCGAACGGCAGCACAGCAGUAGCAAUACUGUGGGUGGCGAGUGGGCGGACGGGUGAGGAAUACGUCGGAAUCUGCCCAGUCGUGGGGGAUAACUAGCCGAAAGGUUAGCUAAUACCGCAUACGACCGAGAGGUGAAAGCGGGGACCGCAAGGCCUCGCGCGAUUGGAUGAGCCGACGUCGGAUUAGCUAGUUGGCGGGGUAAAGGCCCACCAAGGCGACGAUCCGUAGCUGGUCUGAGAGGAUGAUCAGCCACACUGGAACUGAGACACGGUCCAGACUCCUACGGGAGGCAGCAGUGGGAAUAUUGGACAAUGGGCGCAAGCCUGAUCCAGCAAUGCCGCGUGUGUGAAGAAGGCCUUCGGGUUG
rnacentral:rRNA from 1 species